UCCUACGGGAGGCAGCAGUGGGGAAUAUUGGACAAUGGGCGCAAGCCUGAUCCAGCAAUACCGCGUGUGUGAAGAAGGCCUGCGGGUUGUAAAGCACUUUAGGCUGGGAGGAAAAGUUAAUAGUGAAUAGCUAUUGAAAUUGACGUUACCAGCAGAAUAAGCACCGGCUAACUCUGUGCCAGCAGCCGCGGUAAUACAGAGGGUGCGAGCGUUAAUCGGAAUUACUGGGCGUAAAGGGUGCGUAGGCGGUAUAGUAAGUCGGAUGUGAAAUGCCCGGGCUCAACUUGGGAACUGCAUUCGAAACUGCAAUGCUAGAGUACAGUAGAGGAAAGUGGAAUUCCAGGUGUAGCGGUGAAAUGCGUAGAUAUCUGGAGGAACACCGGUGGCGAAGGCGACUUUCUGGACUGAUACUGACGCUGAGGUACGAAAGCGUGGGGAGCAAACAGGAUUAGAUACCCUGGUAGUCCACGCCCUAAACGAUGAGAACUAGCUGUUGGGAGAUAAAAAUCUCUUAGUGGCGCAGCAAACGCGCUAAGUUCUCCGCC
rnacentral:rRNA from 1 species